UGUUCCGUGCCUUAGUUGGUUAAAGCGCCGGUCUAGCGAAUACGGAGUCGUGGGUUCGAAUCCCACCAGAACGC
rnacentral:tRNA from 1 species